rnacentral:rRNA from 1 species
ACCGGCGAAUGGGUGAGUAACGCGUAUCCAACCUGCCCGCAAGCGGGGAAUAGGCUUUCGAAAGAAAGAUUAAUACCCCAUGUACUCCUCACCAGUCAUCUAAAGAGGAGCAAAGAUUUAUCGCUUGCGGAUGGGGAUGCGUCUGAUUAGGCAGUUGGCGGGUUAACAGCCCACCAAACCGACCAUCAUUAGGGGUUCUGAGAGGAAGGUCCCCCCCAUUGGAACUGAUACACGGUCCAAACUCCUACGGGAGGCAGCAUUGAGGAAUAUUGGUCAAUGGGCGAGAGCCUGAACCAGCCAAGUAGCGUGCUCGAUGAGGGCCCUAUGGGUUGUAAACUGCUUUUGAAGGGGAGUAUAGUGAUUGACGAGUCACUCAUUGCAAGUACCCUUGGAAUAAGGACCGGCUAAUUCCGUGCCAGCAGCCGCGAUAAUACGGAAGGUCCGGGCGUUAUCCGGAUUUAUUGGGUCUAAAGGGAGCGUACGCGGCCUUUCAAGCAUGUUGAGAAAUGCAAUGGCCCAACCACUG